CCUACGGGUGGCACCAGUGGGGAAUUUUGGACAAUGGGCGCAAGCCUGAUCCAGCAAUGCCGCGUGCAGGAUGAAGGCCUUCGGGUUGUAAACUGCUUUAGUACGGAACGAAAAGCCCUGGGUUAAUACCCCGGGGUCAUGACGGUACCGUAAGAAUAAGCACCGGCUAACUACGUGCCAGCAGCCGCGGUAAUACGUAGGGUGCGAGCGUUAAUCGGAAUUACUGGGCGUAAAGCGUGCGCAGGCGGUUUUGUAAGACAGAGGUGAAAUCCCCGGGCUCAACCUGGGAACUGCCUUUGUGACUGCAAGGCUAGAGUACGGCAGAGGGGGAUGGAAUUCCGCGUGUAGCAGUGAAAUGCGUAGAUAUGCGGAGGAACACCGAUGGCGAAGGCAAUCCCCUGGGCCUGUACUGACGCUCAUGCACGAAAGCGUGGGGAGCAAACAGGAUUAGAUACCCGGGUAGUC
rnacentral:rRNA from 1 species